CAGGUUAAACUGGUGUUUCCCUACCAUGUUGUUUUCAAUACAGACAGUCCACGUCCACUGACUUUCCCAAUAUAUUCUAUGGUAUAGCUCAGUUCCACUCCAAUGAUAUGUUAGCAUACUUCCAUAGAAUAAUAUGGUUCCCCUAAUAUUAUAGUACAAGUACAUAUUGUAAAGAUUUGCUGAAGUUGGAGUCCAGAAGACCUCAGUUCCUAGUCUUACCUCAGACACUUAGCAACUAAGUGCCUAAGUCCCUUUAACCUCUUUCAGUUUCCACUUCCUCACUUGUAAAAUGGGUAUACUUCUGCACCCAUCUAACAGGGCUAUUGUGAGGACAAAAUGAAAUAUUCUCUAUAAAGCAUUUGGAAAACCUUAAAGCUCUAUAUAAAUGCAUAUUUUGUUUCUCUUGUCUCUCUUCUCCUUCCUUCCUUCCUUCCUUCCUUCCUUCCUUCCUUCCUUCCUUCCUUCCUUCCUUCCUUCCUUCCUUCCUUCCUUCCUUCCUUCCUUCCUUCCUUCCUUCCUUCCUUCCUUCCUUCCUUCCUUCCUUCCUUCCUUCCUUCCUUCCUUCCUUCCUUUCUUCAUUCCUUUGUUCCUUCCUACCUUCCUUCCUUCCUUUCUCCCCCACCCCUCUCCAUUUAUUCUGUUACAAUGAACAGUUCUAUGGCUUAGGGCAUGGGAGAGGGGAGUCCUUGGGAAGUGGCAGUGACAUACAAAAAAGAACAUCUCUAAAUUAUUUAUAUUAUUAAAAAAAGACUAAUAGCCUUAAAAAUGUUAUAUUUUCUCCCCUAGAAGGAAAUUUCUAUGUACUAUUACAUAGAGAAGUAAGAAAGGUUAGAAAAGAUAGAGGUUGCUUUACCUUCUUUAAAAGUGAUAUAAUUCACAUUUUUCAGUACAAAUACAUAUACACAUUUGUAUACCCUAGUCAAAUGUAUACAAAAUUUGAGCUUAUUAAAAAUAACUUUCAAAAAUAUCAUUGACUUGUUUUUUAGGAGAGAACUGUGAUCAUAUGAUCUAUGAUGCCUUGCUGUUCUUCUAGAUGACUUAAUAGUUAGCUAUUUCUAUUUUGUAAUUGUAGUGUAUACUAUUCUUUUUAGAGAAUAGUAUGUUAGCAGUUAGUUUCUCCAAACAUGGUUAUUAUUUUUUGCCUUUAAAUACUCGGUGUGUGCAGAAUAAUGCAUCGGGCAAUCUUCUCUUUAAGCCACACAUAGUCUUAAAUACCUCUGUGUGCAACUUCUAUUUGUCCAUGCACAAUUGAAACUAAACCUGCUUUGAUCGUUUACACAUAACCGUUUGUCUGCUGAGAUUACAGGUUGCAAUAAUGAGGCUCACUGAAAGCCUUCUAUUGCAAGCCCUAAACAGUAAGAGUCGGGGUUUUAGAACACUCAUUGUUCCAGUGCAACCAAUCAGAUUAAUGUAGGAGACCUUCCAUUUUAGCAACUGGGAACUGCUGUUAGCUCCUUAACUCUAUCUUUGCAGGCAACCCUGCCAACUUGAUUAUGGUAAACCUUUAGUCAUCAUUUGCAAGAGAUAUAAAAGCAAGUCCAUCGUGACUUCAGGUUCAAAAACUUUGACUCCAGGAAAGAACGUUUGGUUGUUGCUAUGAAAACCAAGGGAAACCUCUACUGGGACUGGCUAUGUGCAGAGAUGGUGGUAGGGUUAUAUGGUUUCACCAGUGGCAUUAAAAUCCUCUUGACUCCAGCUCUAGUUUCUCAGGCACAUAGUCUAGGGGGCCUACCUACGAAUAGUUGAGUGUGAGUGUAUGUUCAGAGACUCUCCUCAUCAUUCCUGGUUCAUAAUGAUAUAUUUUUUAGUUUACAACAAAAUAGAGAAACAUUGUUAUUGGAUACUGAAAGUUACAUAGAAGUCCCAAAGAUCAAAAGAUACAGAUUCUUAUAUUCCUUUUGCUCUUAAUACUGCACACAGUCACAGAAAAAGGCAGAAGACAUUAUCUACUCUAACAUUUUCAUAUUACAAAAGGGAAAACGAGAAGUGCAGAGAGGUUAAAUAACUUGCCUGAGAUCACAAAGCAAAUUAUCAGAAAAACUGGACAAGUCCUGAAGUUUUGCUCCCCUCCCACCCCCCAGUUUAGUUCUCAUUCUGUGCUUUUUAGGAUUCCAUUUUAUUAUUUGCGUUUUGCCUCAUUCCAUGAAUAAAGUAUUAGGGGGGAAAAAAGCCCUUGUAUUU
ensembl:lncRNA